rnacentral:lncRNA from 1 species
AGGGUUUGACUACUCUGACCUCUAUGUAUUACGAAUCAGAUAUCUCCCUGUACAGAGCUUCAAUGACUAUGCAGUUUGUCUCUAAUAAAACUAGACUGAAUAAGGAAUCUGUACAUAUAAAUCAUGACUUCUAAUUAUCUCUGUAAAUUUUAUGGUGAAUUUAAAAAGUUAGAAUAGGGGAUCCAGAAAUUGCUCUGGCC